rnacentral:tRNA from 1 species
GCGAGUUGAGGGUUGAGGAUGGCUAUUGCUCUUUAAUGCAACCUUGCCAAGGUUGGGGUCGGGCGUUCGAAUCGCCUCACCCGCUCCA